rnacentral:lncRNA from 1 species
CCAUGAUAUAAAGAGACAUAUUUAACCACCUGCUGAAAGAAAUCUUAGAGGCCAGAGUGGUCACUUUCAUUUCUCAAAUGAAGAAAUUGAGGAUCAGAGACAGGGAGGUCUGACAUCUCUGUCUACGGUCAGAGAAGUUGCUGAUCCCAGACUUCAGAGUCAGUCUCCCAUAUUGCUUUUCGAAUCACAGAAUCUGGCCAAAGAUACACAGAAGAUUAGAGCUGGAAAGUAAUUUAGUGACCCGAUGUUGGCAUUUUACAAAUUAAAAAUGAAAAAGGAAGGAUCAGGAGGUGAAGACCCAAGUGGGCUUCUCAGUCCUCCACCAAUACAGUGUCAUUUUUUCCUACAUCCAGAGCAUGAUCACUUCUGUUCCCAUUCCUGGCCCUAUGAUUAUGUGAUUCUCAUCAAUAUUUUGCUAUUAUUACACCACAGUAAUUAUUUCCAUUAUGAGGAAGCACCCUUUGGAUGAGGUUACUGCUGCUGCCACCAUGAAGCCGAGUUAACAUGAGGUGGAAAUCAGCCUUAAAAUCUAGGGGCUGUCCCUGCCAUCACUGUGCUGUCUGACAAUCACAAUAUUAAAUGUCCCCAGGACAAUGCUGUGGGCAGUUCCAGAUACCCUGCCUUGGCUAUACCUCUGCCCUAAAACUGGACCAGGGUCUUUCCUAUUGUCAGAGUUUCUCAUAAAACUGAUAAAUAGAUAAUCUGUCCACUUUGAACACCAAGAAAAAGAGAAAAACUGUGUCAUUGACUAUCACUCUCUACGCUCU